CAUCGGCGCCAAACGAAUCUGACGCGCGCGCCCACAUCGACCGCGUGGAGGGACCAAGACUGGCCGCAUCUUCCCCAACACUUGACGCGCCGCCGUCCGUCAGCUGCUUCGCGCCCGUUCGCCCCGCAAGGAACAGCUCGCGCGAUGGGAUCGCCGCACGGCAGCCGAGCGUGCCGGCGAUUGUUCGACGACGGCGAGGACAGGGGCACCAGGCGGACGCUGGACAAGAUGCAGGAGGACAGCUCGCGGGCCUGGAACUACGACUUCGGACGGGACCGGCCGAUGCAGGGCCGAUUCCAGUGGCAGCGCGGCGACGACGACAAGAGGACGCAACGCCGCUGGGGCAGCGAUGCGUCGCCGGGCUCAGAUUCACACAGACAGAAAGACAAGGGCUGUUCCUUCAAAGGAAGAUGUGACGAGGUCCUUGGGCGCUCUGAGAUAACGGGGAGGACUCCCUACUGACCACCGUUGACUGCUGUUUACGGAAUACAUGAACUCUCCAGACAAGACAAGCCACGCAAGCUCGUCUUCACUGGCUUCAAGGCACCACAGGUGUUCAUCGACUAAAAGCAUCCUUUCUUGAUUGAUAUAUUCCUAUAGUGUUUCCCGCUAUAUAUAUAUAAACCUGUACAGGACGGUCCUUGCUACCACACGCUGUCACACUGUCGUGGUAGCUCACUAGAACUUCGCUAUAACCUGUAUGAUCCUUUGUUGAGCUAGGCUGUCAUCGCACCUAGAACACUGCUUCUGAACUUCUGUUAUAUUACAAUGCGGCAAUACAACAGCACAGACAGAGUGCAUUUAACUAUUGUAUAUGGAAUAGAGUUACGAUCGCAGCGUUAUAACUUCUUGACCACAAUUACGACAUCUACAAUCCAUUCGUUCAUUUGAACUGCGUUCUGGAGAAACAUUCAACACCGUUCCUAGAGAGAAUAUAUUGGCACGAUGACUACGCGUACAAUGUGCAAUAUCAUUCCGUCUAAAGAGAAGCUUCCACAGUAUAGGGGGGUGCGCCGAAAAGGCCACUGCGAAAAACGGUUGCAUGGCUUCGAAGAAGAAAAGAGUUGCUCCAUUCACUUUGCUGUGAAAACCCUUCGUAAAGCUCCCCUCAGAUUCUUUAUUGUUUUGCUGCAGCGCACCAUCCUGUAAAAAAAAAAAAAAAACAUGCUCAAUGUUUGUCGUCUACGAUGAAGGGCUAAAUAUUCCGUCUUAAGAACACUGUAUUCCUCGUCAGAGGCAGUCCAUUAUUGAAAAAGAAAGCGAAGAGGGCUCUGCAGGUGCAGAUGCACUAGCGUGCAGCGUAUAGACGAUACCCAUAACAUAACCCUAAGUCUGUCGCGCACUGCCAUUUUUGCAGCCGUCUCGUCCGGACGACGCAGAGUUAUCAGAUGACCAAACUAUCACUCGGUUCUUUAUUGACACAAAGAAACGCGGUGAUCGUAAUGGAAUAUGACGUGUACAUACAAAUUUCUUAUUUACACAAUUUCAUUAUUUUUUUGUUCUCAUCAGUAUUUUAAUGUCCGUUAUAUUUAUGCAAUCGGAUGGGCAAUGUUUUUAUUGAAAAAUGUGUACAAAUCAACAACGAUCUCUGAGGCACUCGCCAGAAGAUGGUCGCUUCCUGACAAAGUGUUGUCAGUGACAGUCUUAUCGUAGCCUGAGCACGUGCUUCAAUUAGAUGAAAUAAUUAUUCUCUUGCGCAUGCUCAAUCACUACACGAGUCAAGUUAAUGACUUUUUUACGCCCAUCUUUAGCAGCUAAAUCAGCGCGAAAGCGUCGAGGAAACCUGUUUGUGCAGAAAAAUUAGAGCGCCAUGUGCUCAGGCUCGGUGUUCUCUGUCUACAUUCUUUUGUUCCGUGAGCGACCUUCUCCACGCGAUGCCUCCAACCUGUGAAAACUCAAUUUGUACAGCUAUAUUCUGAAAUUUCCAAAAUAUAUGUGAGAAUACUCGGUAGAACUAUUUUUUCUGAGCAUAGGCGAUACAAUAAGCGUUAUUAACUGCCAAAGUAUGUUUUUGUUUGUUUGUACUUAUCGGCUGGUGCUGGUGGAAGGUGGUGAUAUGUAGAGUGCUUUAUAACGCACAGGCGUUCACAUUGUAUAUCCCUCACACGUUAUGAUCAUUACGCCUGCUGUGCUCGUUGUUUGUUUUUUUGUCUGUUGAAAUCAAGAGAUCGUUAUAUUGUAAAAGCUAAAUAAUUAAUCGGCUUCGUUAAUGUGUCCUCUUAAAUUGGUCGAAUGCUCUUGUGUUGGCCAAACGGCAAAUGGACGCAAGUGUUCCUUCACAGCUCGACACUGCAGAUAUGUGCUUUCGGACGCUCUGCCUCGUUUCAAUAGAGGCCACAAGAGCGUAACAUAAGAGCGAUUUCUAUAAUUGUAACUUUGGUAGCGUAUCAGCGCACUCGUCAUGAUUUCUUAGUUUCUAAAUGCCAGUGAACAUGGCAUUGUAGCAGCUUAUCUUGCAUUUAUUCCUCCACUGCUUGUAUUACGACAUUGUGCGGACUAAAGUAAACAAACCUCAUGAAAUUCGUGAUGCGGUGAUAGUUGGCUCCGUUACAUCCAAUACAUAUUACUUUUUUUAUGCGAAUGUAGGGCCAACUCUAAAAGGUGCAUUGCAAGUUCUUCGUUACUGAGCCUAAGGCUUACUACCGCUGACGUUUCCCCACUUCAAAAUGAUUCCUUUGUUUUGUUCUUUUUUUCUCCGUAUCAAAAAGCAAGUUUGUCAUGGCUAGCUCAGAAAUUUCUUAAAUGUGCCUUGUUAGAUGUGAAAAUCGCCAAUUCUCCACCUGGUCCCUGAUGCAAUGUUUCCCGUCUAAGCCUGUGCAUAUUCAAGAGGCAUGAACGACAGCCCUUUGUUCAUUCCUGCAGCGAUGCAAUGCUAAGUUCUCGUCAACGUUACACCGAAAACCCAUAUCGCUUGUUUAGGUUAGUACUGUGUGUAUUGCGAUCUCGCUGUCUGCUGUGAACGACUUUUCGCAGUACACGGUUAUGCGGACUGAAGAACAUGUCGCUGGGUUAGCUGGUAAUCCAUCUUGAUAACAGCUUUAGAGCGCAAAGAAACAUACUGGCUUACACACACAAACACCCGAAGAAGAACUCGCCUUUUCACAAACCUCUCGUGUGACACAAAGGGGGGGGGGGGGGAGGGCAGUCCUUGUGUGUU
rnacentral:lncRNA from 1 species